rnacentral:rRNA from 1 species
UACGAAGGGUGCAAGCGUUAAUCGGAAUUACUGGGCGUAAAGCGUGCGUAGGCGGUUGUUUAAGUCUGCUGUGAAAUCCCCGGGCUCAACCUGGGAAUGGCAGUGGAUACUGGACAGCUAGAGUGUGUCAGAGGAUGGUGGAAUUCCCGGUGUAGCGGUGAAAUGCGUAGAGAUCGGGAGGAACAUCAGUGGCGAAGGCGGCCAUCUGGGACAACACUGACGCUGAGGCACGAAAGCGUGGGGAGCAAACGGG